GACGAACGCUGGCGGCGUGCUUAACACAUGCAAGUCGAACGGAAAGGCCCUGCUUUUGUGGGGUGCUCGAGUGGCGAACGGGUGAGUAACACGUGAGUAACCUGCCCUUGACUUUGGGAUAACUUCAGGAAACUGGGGCUAAUACCGGAUAGGAGCUCCUGCUGCAUGGUGGGGGUUGGAAAGUUUCGGCGGUUGGGGAUGGACUCGCGGCUUAUCAGCUUGUUGGUGGGGUAGUGGCUUACCAAGGCUUUGACGGGUAGCCGGCCUGAGAGGGUGACCGGCCACAUUGGGACUGAGAUACGGCCCAGACUCCUCCGGGCGGCAGCAGUGGGGAAUAUUGCACAAUGGGCGGAAGCCUGAUGCAGCAACGCCGCGUGCGGGAUGACGGCCUUCGGGUUGUAAACCGCUUUCGCCUGCGACGAAGCGUGAGUGACGGUAAUGGGUAAAGAAGCACCGGCUAACUACGUG
rnacentral:rRNA from 1 species